rnacentral:rRNA from 1 species
UACGUAGGGUGCGAGCGUUGCCCGGAUUUAUUGGGCGUAAAGGGCGCGUAGGCGGCCACGCACGUCCGUUGUGAAAUCGCCCGGCUCAACUGGGCGGGGUCGGCGGAUACGGCGUGGCUGGAGCAAGCUAGGGGGCAAUGGAAUUCCCGGUGUAGUGGUGGAAUGCGUAGAUAUCGGGAAGAACACCAGUGGCGAAGGCGGCUCUCUGGGACGGUACUGACGCUGAGACGCGAAAGCGUGGGGAGCGAACAGG